GUACUCUCUUCAGCAGCAUGUAUACUAAAAUUGGAACAAUAUGUAGAAGAUUAGCAUAGCCCUUGUGCUAGAAUGUUACACAAAUUCAUGAAACAUUCAUAGUUUUA
ensembl:snRNA U6 U6 spliceosomal RNA